GACACAGACUCUGGGCUAGAAAAUUUGUUAGGUACUUUAUGUGACUCCUUCCCCAAACCUUGUGAGGCAAUGGUGAGGUUACUUGCCAGCUAUUAAGCAGCUCCUAGGGAGCAGGGCCGGGAUUUUAUCUAGCCCAGGGUUGCCAACUCCAAAAUUGUUACACCUUCCUCUGUACCAGGAUGAUGAUCAUGGAAAGACCAUUCCAAGAGCCAUGAGCACUGGGAAAUCAAGUUAGGGGGAAAACAAGAAAUGCCUGAAGGAACCAGACAUGUUCAGCCCAUCAAAGAGAAAGAACGGGAGACACCUUGAAGGCCUCCCAAGCGGGGGUGGGGGUAGGCAGCUCACCCUCUCCUCACGUGCCCCCACAGCAUGAAUGACAUCUGUACAAAGAAGCAGGCCUGGGACCCCAUAAUCCUUUACGCCAGAGCUCUGAACUAGCCCUGAUCACAGACAGAAUGAGGCGCAGUAAGGAGCCUGCUGUCCCUGGAAGCAGGCAAACAGAGGCUGAAUAACAGAGGAUGAUCACCCGAUCAUCCUUUUGACUUUCAGAUUUCUAUACAGGGGAAGAGGACCUUCCCUCUCUCCUAAUCCCAUCAGAUUCAGAAGCAGGAGCGAGGAGAAUCCACUCCAGAAGUAGGAUUUAAAAGAGCGUAAGGUGCGGAGUCUGAAGUCUUGUUGAACUGAAAUAAAAGCUUUGCUUACCGCCAGCGGCGCCAGCCUAUCCUAUAAAACUCCCGGUCUGCGGAACUGACAGCAUCUAGUACAGCGAAGUCCAGGUGAAAGUUCUCCAACAAUGAAAAUGGCCUCUGUCUGGGCGGCCCAAUAUGGUAACCGCUAACCACGCGUGGCCACUGAGCACCUGAACGGAGACUAAUGGAACUAAGGAACUCCAUUUUUAAAUUUUACUUAAGUUUAAUUUAAAUUUAAAUAGCCACAUGUGGCUACCAGCUGUUGUACUGGAUAGUGUAGGUUUAUGGUAUUUUUUUUUCCUCCAGUAAUCUUGGGUUACUAGACUGCUGUCCUUCAUUGGUUUGCUUCCUGGGGUUUUUAAGCCCUGGAGCAGGAGUAAGGAUGAUCUGGCAUGGUUUUACCUGCAGGCGUGAGAAAGAAGUGAGCUGAUCCCAGAAGUAAUACACUUGGCUAUGAGUUUUCUUUCUUCCCAGAGUUUACCCGAGUUUCAAUGCAUAAAGGGAAAUCACCCAUGAAACCAACAACAGAGGGACAUCUCCUAAGCCAGACUGAUUUCUUCUUGCUGUCAGAGGUUAAAACGAAACGAAACAAACUUGUUUGAAAAAAUUAACCAAUGGGAGCAGCCAUCACCCUUCAACUGACUCGGAGGGAACUAUAUUUCACCUGAGGCCCUCAAACACGGUGUGAUGAUAAAAAUGCUUUUGUUGGUCACCUCAGCUGCUAACUAUGGCUCCAGCGCUAGACCUGGGGUGUGUGUGUGGGGUGUUCUAGAAGCUCACCACCUGGGUGAGGGAAAGCAGCAGCGAUAAGAAGGUAAGGUCUAGGCCAUCCUAAGUUAACGUCCGGGGGAAAUACUGGGGUGCGUGAGUGGAGGGGCGUGAGGCGUGAAGCAAGGCUGCAAGGGACCCCGAGGAGCCCCUGGGGCCGGGGCCUGCUGACGGGCAUGCGUGGGGGUGAGGUGCGGGGAACUGGGGCAGCGGGGCUGCGGGCUCGGUGUAGGCAGAGAAGAUGAUGUCAGUGUUCAGAGAACCUGUUGGAACACGGAACGCGACUGCAGGGGAGGGAGGCCUGACGAGAAAUGGGAACAAAGGAAACACAGAGGCAGGCAGGCUGGAUAUACAAUGGAGGAGCAGAGGGAGAAGGGGCGGGGGGGGGGGGCGGGGGAGGGACGUGGCAAGAGUCACGGGCUAGAUUUCCUGCCGCCCCGGGAGGGUGACUGGGAAGAAGUUUCUGAGGGUGAAGGUGGUCAGGCUAAGUGCUUUUUUCGACAGCUGGAAAGUGAAGAAAUGACAAGAAUAGAAGGGCAGGUCUGGGUACUCCGGGAUUAGCACAGAGGUGAGAACGGGAGCUUCUGAGGGCACAGGGGAUCCAUCCCUCCAGGAGAGGCGGGGCCGGUGCUGGGGGAGCCCCGAGACAGAGCCAAGAGGGUCUGGCCUACGGAGGUAGGAAACAGGGCUGGCAGGAAUGAGGUUCCCCCAGGAAGGAGCAGUGUGUGGCGUCUGCAUCGAGGUGAAAGCAGCAGCAAUGAAGGCGCAGGACCCUUCAGCACCUGGGAAGACGCAAAAGCACAGAAAGGAACCAUCCCAGGGGCUGCUCCAGAAGCUCCCAGCUGGAUAAGCUUCAUCCUGAACACACAGUAGGCACUCAAGUAUUCUACUGAUUAGUAAUCUCAAGAAAACAGGCAGGGGGUCAUAUGCUGUGUGGAGGAGGAACAGAAAAGGGGAAUUGAUGGUUUAAGGAGCAGAGGGCCCCAGGGAGCCGUGGGAGGGAGCACAGUGGCAGAGAUCAAUAAAGGCCUCCCCAGCGGCUAAACCGGCAGGCCCCGGGAACAGCCAGAGACAAUGA